AUUGAACGCUGGCGGAAUGCUUUACACAUGCAAGUCGAACGGCAGCACGGACUUCGGUCUGGUGGAUAGUGGCGAACGGGGGAGUAAUACAUCGGAACGUGCCCAGUCGUGGGGGAUAACGUAGCGAAGGGUACGCUAAUGCCGCAUACGAGCUAAGGAUGAAAGCGGGGGAUCUCAAGACCUCGCGCGAUUGGAGCGGCCGAUGGACGAUUAGGUAGUUGGUAGGGGCAAGGCCUACCAAGACGACGAUCUGUAGCGGGUCUGAGAGGAUGAUCAACCAAACUGGGAAUGAGACACGGCCAAGACUCCUACGGGAGGAAGCAGUGGGGAAUUUUGGACAAUGGGCGCAAGCCUGAUCCAGCCAUUCCGCGUGCAGGAUGAAGGCCUUCGGGUUGUAAACUGCUUUUGUACAGAACGAAAAGGCUCUGGUUAAUACCCGGGGCUCAUGACGGUACUGUAAGAAUAAGCACCGGCUAACUACGUGCCAGCCGCCGCGGUAA
rnacentral:rRNA from 1 species